rnacentral:rRNA from 1 species
GCAGCAGGCGCGCAAAUUACCCACUCCCGGCACGGGGAGGUAGUGACGAAAAAUAACGAUACGGGACUCAUCCGAGGCCCCGUAAUCGGAAUGAGUACACUCUAAACCCUUUAACGAGGAUCAAUUGGAGGGCAAGUCUGGUGCCAGCAGCCGCGGUAAUUCCAGCUCCAAUAGCGUAUAUUAAAGUUGUUGCGGUUAAAAAGCUCGUAGUCGAAUUUGUGUCUCGCGCCGCCGGUUCAUCGUUCGCGGUGUCAACUGGCGUGUCGCGAGACGUCCUGCCGGCGGGCUUAGCUCGCGAGGGCGGCCCAAUUCAAUCCCGCCGCGGUGCUCUUCAUUGAGUGUCGAGGUGGGCCGGCACGUUUACUUUGAACAAAUUAGAGUGCUUAAAGCAGGCUAAAACUUCGCCUGAAUAAUGCGUGCAUGGAAUAAUGAAACAGGACCUCGGUUCUAUUUUGUUGGUUUUCGGAACCCCGAGGUAAUGAUUAACAGGAACGGAUGGGGGCAUUCGUAUUGCGACGUUAGAGGUGAAAUUCUUGGAUCGUCGCAAGACGGACAGAAGCGAAAGCAUUUGCCAAAAACGUUUUCAUUGAUCAAGAACGAAAGUUAGAGGUUCGAAGGCGAUCAGAUACCGCCCUAGUUCUAACCAUAAACGAUGCCAGCUAGCGAUCCGCCGACGUUCCUCCGAUGACUCGGCGGGCAGCUUCCGGGAAACCAAAGCUUUUGGGUUCCGGGGGAAGUAUGGUUGCAAAGCUGAAACUUAAAGGAAUUGACGGAAGGGCACCACCAGGAGUGGAGCCUGCGGCUUAAUUUGACUCAACACGGGAAACCUCACCAGGCCCAGACACCGGAAGGAUUGACAGAUUGAGAGCUCUUUCUUGAUUCGGUGGGUGGUGGUGCAUGGCCGU